AUCGAUGAACACGACUAUGUCGUGAAGAUGAAGAACUGCUAUAAGUUCUUGUCCGAUGGCGAUAAGGUCAAGAUCACCUUGCGCUUCCGCGGCCGCGAGAUGGCGCACCAGGACCUCGGCAUGAAGGUGCUGAUCCGCGUGCGCGACGACAUGGCCGAACUCGCCAAGGUCGAGCAGUUGCCGAAGAUGGAAGGCCGCCAGAUGAUCAUGGUGAUGGCCCCGAAGUAAGGGCGGCCGCCGUGGCCUGAGGCACCGGACGAGGCCGGGGCGAGGACGACAGUCCCGCC
rnacentral:misc_RNA from 1 species